GUGAUACGUUCCUUAGGGAGGCCUUUACAAAAACCUUCCUCAUGUUGUGGAUAGGAUGCAAGGGCCCCUGGGGUAUGUGCUCUUCUUGACACCCAGGGCUUUACUGGGAGCUGCCUGCACAUUUUCAAAGAUUUGUUCAUCCCAACCCUGAAGUGUUCCUGUGCCAGAUCCACAAAGGAUGACUCCCAACCAAGACCACACAGCAGACCCCGGUGGGAGGAGAUUCCCUUUGGCUCACCCAAUAGCUCUUCUAUCUAUGAGACCCCCCAGGACAGGACAGUCUGCACCAGAUGGGCAUCCUCUGUGAAGGAAUAAAAUGUGGGUGGUUGCCUUUGAAAGUCAAGCCACAAGGCAGCCACGUUCCUCCACAUGCCACCUUUCUGCACCUUCCAUCAGUGUCUCAAAGUGUUUUUCCCAGAGGGGCCAGUGUCACCGGAAUCCAACCCCAAGGUGGCUGGGGAAAACUGUGGUUGAUUUCACCAGGCCUAGCAACACUGUGUUCUGGCGGCAUCGUGUACUUUGGAGAGGGCACCAGACUCACUGUUUUAGAGGAUUUGUCCAAAAUCACUGCCCCUGAAGUGGCCAUCUUUCCCCCGUCGAAGCAGGAGAUCAAAGAGAAGAGGAAGGCCACCCUGGUGUGCCUGGCCACAGGUUUCUACCCUGACCACAUCAAGCUGGUUUGGCAGGUGAACGGUGUUGAGAGGAAAGAGGGGGUGAGGACAGAUGAAUCUCUACUGGACAAAAACAAAGAAAAAUACUCACUGACCAGCCGCUUGAGGAUCUCACAUCAGGAAUGGUCCAAUUCCAAGAACAGAUUCCAGUGCUUUGUUGAGUUCUACGGGAAUGAGACAAAAUUAUAUGAUAAAUUCAUCAAUGGUGUAGCUGAUUGCAGCAUCUCAGAAGAGUCAUAUCUGAGAAGUGCCAUGGCAGGCAUGAGUGUGUAUGUUCUGCUCAUUUUCAAGAGCGUUUUGUAUGGGGUCUUUGUGAUGGGGCUAAUGCUAAGGAACAAGCAAAUGCAGUAGAAGAAGCUGUCCUGAGGUGGAUGACACAGCUACCUGGAGAAAGAAGGAGCUGCAGCUGCAUUAGUUUUACAAGUCCUGAUUUUUUUCAGAAACCAGCACAGCACCUAGGCUUUUGUUACAAUAGAUGUACAAAGACAGCAAUGUGGGAUUGUCUGGCUGUAUUUGCUUGUUUGAAACAGCAGCUUUUAAUAAACACUUUUGAAAUCCUUAA